GGCAAGCCUUACACAUGCAAGUCGAGCGGUAGCAUUUCUAGCUUGCUAGAAGAUGACGAGCGGCGGACGGGUGAGUAAUGCAUAGGAAUCUGGCCAAUAGAGGGGGAUAGCCCGGAGAAAUCCGGAUUAAUACCGCAUACACUCUAUGGAGAAAAAGCAGGGGGAUCUUCGGACCUUGUGCUAUUGGAUGAGCCUAUGUCGGAUUAGUUAGUUGGUGGGGUAAAGGCCUACCAAGGCAGCGAUCCGUAGCUGGUCUUAGAGGAUGAUCAGCCACAUCGGGACUGAGACACGGCCCGAACUCCUACGGGAGGCAGCAGUGGGGAAUAUUGCACAAUGGGCGCAAGCCUGAUGCAGCUAUGCCGCGUGUGUGAAGAAGGCCUUAGGGUUGUAAAGCACUUUCAGUAGUGAGGAAAAGUGUUGUGUUAAUAGUGCAAUGCUGUGACGUUAGCUACAGAAGAAGGACCGGCAAACUCCGUG
rnacentral:rRNA from 1 species